rnacentral:rRNA from 1 species
CCUACGGGUGGCAGCAGUCGAGAAUCAUUCACAAUGGGGGAAACCCUGAUGGUGCGACGCCGCGUGGGGGAAUGAAGGUCUUCGGAUUGUAAACCCCUGUCAUGUGGGAGCAAAUUAAAAAGAUAGUACCACAAGAGGAGAAGACGGCUAACUCUGUGCCAGCAGCCGCGGUAAUACAGAGGUCUCAAGCGUUGUUCGGAAUCACUGGACGUAAGGCGUGCCUAGGCUGUUUCGUAGGUCGUGUGUGAAAGGCGCGGGCUCAACCCGCGGACGGCACAUGAUACUCCGAGACUAGAGUAAUGGAGGGGGAACCGGAAUGCUCGGUGUAGCAGUGAAAUGCGUAGAUAUCGAGAGGAACACUCGUGGCGAAGGCGGGUUCCUGGACAUUAACUGACGCUGAGGCACGAAGGCCAGGGGAGCGAAAGGGAUUAGAUACCCCUGUAGUC